AUUGAACGCUGGCGGCAGGCCUAACACAUGCAAGUCGAACGAGUGGCGGACGGGUGGGCAAUGUCUGGGCCACUGCCUGCUGGAGGGGGAUCACUACUGGACACGGUUGCUACUACCGCCUACCAUCGGAUGUGCCCAGAUGGGAUUAGCUAGUAGGUGGGGUAAAGGCUCACCUAGGCGACGAACCCUACCUGGUCUGAGAGGAUGACCAGCCACACUGGAACUGAGACACGGUCCAGACUCCUACGGGAGGCAGCAGUGGGGAAUAUUGCACAAUGGGCGCAAGCCUGAUGCAGCCAUGCCGCGUGUAUGAAGAAGGCCUUCGGGUUGUAAAGUACUUUCAGCGGGGAGGCGUUACCCGCAGAAGAAGCACCGGCUAACUCCGUGCCAGCAGCCGCGGUAAUUC
rnacentral:rRNA from 1 species